UACGUAGAUGGCAAGCGUUAUCCGGAUUCAUUGGGCGUAAAGGGUGCUCAGCUGGUUUAUUAAGUCUGUAGUUAAAUUUCGAGGCUCAACUUCGAACUGCUGCGGAAGCUGGUAAACUUGAGUACAGGAGAGGGUAGUGGAAUUCCAUGUGAAGCGGUAAAAUGCGUAGAUAUAUGGAGGAACACCAGUGGCGAAGGCGGCUACCUGGCCUGUAACUGACGGUCAAGCACGAAAGCGUGGGGAGCAAAUAGG
rnacentral:rRNA from 1 species